CCAACGGCUCUUUUAAGAGCCACCCAAAUUCUCUCGAAAAGGGCUG
rfam:Chaetura pelagica isolate M959 contig50895, whole genome shotgun sequence.